CUUUUAAUAUUGCUAGUUCUUUUUCUAGUUCUAUUAUUUUAGUAUUUUUUACUUCUUCUAAUUGUUGUACUUUCUUUUUUGCUUGUUGUUUUAUUUUUUCAAUUUCCGUUUUUCUAUCUAUUUCUUCAUUUUCUUUUGUUAUUCUUAUCAUAGCAGUUAAACUAUCUUCUAGUUUUACCGUUUCUUUUUCUAACAUUAAACUUAGAUUAUCACCUAUUUUCUUAUAUCUUCUUCCUAGAUUAG
rnacentral:lncRNA from 1 species